ensembl:snRNA U6 U6 spliceosomal RNA
GUGCUCUCUUUGGCAGCACAUAUACUAAAAUUGGAAUGAUACAGAAAAGAUUAGCAUGGCCCCGCACAAAGAUGACAUGCAAAUUCAUGAAGCAUUUCACAUUUUU